AAGUCGUAACAAGGUUUCCGUAGGUGAACCUGCGGAAGGAUCAUUUGUGAAAAAUUUAAUGGUUUUUUUGAAGAGGGGUAAAAUCCUUUUUAGAAAAACAUAAAAAAAGAGAUUUCUUGUGGUUUAUAAAUGAUUUUUUAAAGAAAAAUUGUUUGUUGUUGGAUUCUUUCUAAUGACAAACAAUUUAUAUUUUUAAAAAUCAAUUUUUUUAUAAAAAACUAUUUUAAACAUGUAUUUAAAAAAUUAACAGUUUUAAAAAAAUAAAUUAAAAAAAAAAUUAAAACUGUCAACGGUGGAUCUCUUGGCUCGU
rnacentral:misc_RNA from 1 species